CCUACGGGGUGCAGCAGUGGGGAAUAUUGGACAAUGGGCGAAAGCCUGAUCCAGCCAUGCCGCGUGUGUGAAGAAGGCCUUCGGGUUGUAAAGCACUUUCAGUGGGGAAGAAAGCCUUGGGGCUAAUACCCUCGAGGAAGGACAUCACCCACAGAAGAAGCACCGGCUAACUCCGUGCCAGCAGCCGCGGUAAUACGGAGGGUGCGAGCGUUAAUCGGAAUUACUGGGCGUAAAGCGCGCGUAGGCGGUCUGAUAAGCCGGUUGUGAAAGCCCCGGGCUCAACCUGGGAACGGCAUCCGGAACUGUCAGGCUAGAGUGCAGGAGAGGAAGGUAGAAUUCCCGGUGUAGCGGUGAAAUGCGUAGAGAUCGGGAGGAAUACCAGUGGCGAAGGGGGUCUUCUGGACUGACACUGACGCUGAGGUGCGAAAGCGUGGGUAGCAAACAGGAUUAGAUACCCGUGUAGUC
rnacentral:rRNA from 1 species